UGCUCUGGAAGUUUGGUGGUGUCGCGAUCCUCCGGUAAUGGAUGGUUGACGCCCCUCCCAGUGAUUCUUAGAACAGAAAUUUGGUGCAGAUUGAAAGCUCUCAACCCGAACAGCAAACUUGCUGGUUUCUUCCAUGGGAAGUUGUACUAUGAGCCAUCUAACAUGGCGUGAACGCAUUAUUCUAAAGGGUUUAUAUAAUGAGUCAUUAUUGUCUGGGCUGCUACAAAGAGUCAGUACUCAUGUAAGUGGGUCAUGGUUUCAUACAGCCAUGUUCUAAGGAAGUAAGAUGUGGAUAACAAAAGAAAACAAGCCUCGGAUCCAAUACAUGCGAUUGAAGCCCCAAAUAUGGCAUCCUACAGCAAGAAUGAUAAAGAAGGUGCCGGAGGGACAUGUCCUGGCAGGUGGCAAGAUAGUUGCUCGUUCUGUCACUAAAUUGCAGCAUAUUUUUCUUAUUGAAGGAAAAAAGAGAAGUUUGGAUCAUUGCAGGAGGCUCAGUACUCUCACUUAUUUUGACGUCCACCAGAAAACUUGCCAAACAGAAUCAUGUAUGUUGACACGUACUUCACGGAAAGAGAUGUCUAGGAUAUGAAGGUCGAGGUCAUCAUACAUUUCUGAUUGAUUGAAGAACCAGAAUAUCAUACCUCGUAUGAAGGUCGAGGUCGGCUGCUGCAGGUCGCGGUCUUCAGGGCGAUUGUCACUUCGACUUGCGUACAGGCUAGGUGGCGCGUGGGUCAGUUACGGCGCAUGGCAGUCCUGGCAGCGCAUGGUUUAGGACGGCGUAUGACAGGCUGGGCGGCAGGCAGGCAGGAAAGAUCGUAUCGGCCUGGAGGCGGCGGGCGGCCUGGAGGCGGCGGUCGAGAAUGGCGCCGACGGGCAAUCAGUCACCGGCGCUUUGGAGUAGGUGAUCGUGAGAUCAAUCGUAGUAUUGCUUUGGAGUAGGUGAUCGUGAGAGUAAUUCAGAUUCUUGCUUUUUUUUUCUGGAGCGAUUUAGAGUAGGCGAUCCUGAGAGCAAUAAUACUCCACCGUUAAUUCAGCUAGUUGCUUUUUUUCCUAGAGCGAUCAGUCAAUCCACCGGUAAUUUAGGUUCUUUUUUUUUCUGCUGGUGGGCGUGGAUGUUUGGCGGAAGGAAGUUUUCGUCUGCUGGGGUGCGCUCCGCCGCGGUAAUCGCUGGAUGCACAAUUAGUUUUAAUUGGCUACAUCUGUGACGUUAGUUGUACAAAGUCCAAACGAUCCGACGGUUAUGGUUAAUUCAUGCACGAUUAGCUGGGUGUACGUAAGAAAGAUCAAGUUUGCUUGUUUAA